rnacentral:piRNA from 1 species
UGGUUCAAGGCUUCAGUUCAAUGUGAC